CCUGGCUCAGGAUGAACGCUAGCUACAGGCUUAACACAUGCAAGUCGAGGGGCAGCAUGAACUUAGCUUGCUAAGUUUGAUGGCGGCCGGCGCACGGGUGAGUAACACGUAUCCAACCUUCCGUUUACUCAGGGAUAGCCUUUCGAAAGAAAGAUUAAUACCUGAUAGUAUGGUGAGAUUGCAUGAUGGCACCAUUAAAGAUUUAUUGGUAAACGAUGGGGAUGCGUUCCAUUAGGUAGUAGGCGGGGUAACGGCCCACCUAGCCGGCGAUGGAUAGGGGUUCUGAGAGGAAGGUCCCCCACAUUGGAACUGAGACACGGUCCAAACUCCUACGGGAGGCAGCAGUGAGGAAUAUUGGUCAAUGGGCGAGAGCCUGAACCAGCCAAGUAGCGUGAAGGAUGAAGGUCCUACGGAUUGUAAACUUCUUUUAUACGGGAAUAAAGUUUCCUACGUGUAGGAUUUGUAUGUACCGUAUGAAUAAGCAUCGGCUAACUCCGUGCCAGCAGCCGCGGUAAUACGGAGGAUGCGAGCGUUAUCCGGAUUUAUUGGGUUUAAAGGGAGCGCAGACGGGAGAUUAAGUCAGUUGUGAAAGUUUGCGGCUCAACCGUAAAAUGCAGUUGAUACUGGUUUCCUUGAGUGCAGUUGAGGCAGGCGGAAUUCGUGGUGUAGCGGUGAAAUGCUUAGAUAUCACGAAGAACCCCGAUUGCGAAGGCAGCUUGCUAAACUGUAACUGACGUUCAUGCUCGAAAGUGUGGGUAUCAAACAGGAUUAGAUACCCUGGUAGUCCACACGGUAAACGAUGGAUACUCGCUGUUGGCGAUAUACUGUCAGCGGCCAAGCGAAAGCAUUAAGUAUCCCACCUGGGGAGUACGCCGGCAACGGUGAAACUCAAAGGAAUUGACGGGGGCCCGCACAAGCGGAGGAACAUGUGGUUUAAUUCGAUGAUACGCGAGGAACCUUACCCGGGCUUAAAUUGCAGACGAAUUACGAGGAAACUUGUAAGCCGCAAGGCGUCUGUGAAGGUGCUGCAUGGUUGUCGUCGGCUCGUGCCGUGAGGUGUCGGCUUAAGUGCCAUAACGAGCGCAACCCUCGUGGUCAGUUACUAACAGGUUAAGCUGAGGACUCUGGCCAGACUGCCAUCGUAAGAUGUGAGGAAGGUGGGGAUGACGUCAAAUCAGCACGGCCCUUACGUC
rnacentral:rRNA from 1 species